rnacentral:rRNA from 1 species
GACGAACGCUGGCGGCGUGCUUAACACAUGCAAGUCGAACGGAAAGGCCCUGCUUUUGUGGGGUGCUCGAGUGGCGAACGGGUGAGUAACACGUGAGUAACCUGCCCUUGACUUUGGGAUAACUUCAGGAAACUGGGGCUAAUACCGUAUAGGAGCUCCUGCUGCAUGGUGGGGGUUGGAAAGUCUCGGCGGUUGGGGCUGGACUCGCGGCUGACCAGCUUGUUGGUGGGGUAGUGGCUUACCAAGGCUUUGACGGGUAGCCGGCCUGAGAGGGUGACCGGCCACAUUGGGCCUGAGAUACGGCGCAGACUCCUACGGGAGGCAGCAGUGGGGAAUAUUGCACAAUGGGCGGAAGCCUGAGGCAGCAACGCCGCGGGCGUGAUGACGGCCUGUGGGUUGUAAAACGCUUUAGCCUGUGACGAAGCGUGAGUGACGGUAAUGGGUAAAGAAGCACCGGCUAACUACGUG